ACACACAAAAUAGUCUCUUGUUAGAGUGA
rnacentral:piRNA from 1 species